UGUAGGGCGCACGGCGGAUGCCUUGGCACAGGAAGCCGAUGAAGGACGCGGCAAGCUGCGAUAAUCCGCGGUUAGGGGCACACACCCUUCGACCCGCGGGUCUCCGAAUGGGCGAACCCGCCAGGAGAGGUCCUGGCAUCCCCCUUGGGAACGCAUACCUUGGGGGAGGACAACCCGGGGAACUGAAACAUCUAAGUACCCGGAGGAGAAGAAAUCAACUGCGAGAUUCCCCGAGUAGCGGCGAGCGAAAGGGGACCGAUGGCCAAACCGGCGAGCGGGCGGGCGCCAGCCUAUACCGCCGCCGGGGUUGCAGGGCCUCCCGCCCGGGAGCUGGCGCUCCCGGCGGGGAUCCAUCCAGGGGAGCCGAACGGCAUGGGAGGGCCGGCGGCACAGGGUCACAGCCCCGUAGGCGCACCCUGGGAUGGACCCCGGCGGAGGUCCCUGAGUAGGGCCGGGCACGUGAAACCCGGUCCGAAGCAGGGGGGACCACCCUCCAAGCCUGAAUACUCUCCUGUGACCGAUAGCGCACAAGUACCGUGAGGGAAAGGUGAAAAGCACCCCGGGAGGGGAGUGAAACAGUACCUGAAACCGUGCGCCCGCAAGGCGUCGGAGCACCCUUUCAGAGGUGUGACGGCGUGCCUUUUGUAGAAUGAGCCAGCGAGUUGCUGGCCGUCGGCGAGGUUAAGCUGGAAAGCGAGCCGGAGCGAAAGCGAGUCCGAAACGGGCGACCAUAGUCGGCGGCCGCAGACGCGAAGCCGGGUGAGCUACCCGUGGGCAGGCUGAAGCGGGGGUAAGACCCCGUGGAGGGCCGAACGCACGUCGGUUGAAAACGGCGGCGAUGACCUGCGGAUAGGGGUGAAAGGCCAAUCAAACCCGGAGAUAUCUCGUUCUCCCCGAAAUAGCUUUAGGGCUAGCGUCGCGCGUUAACCCCGGGAGGUAGAGCACCGGAUCGAUGAGGGGGCUUCGCCGCCUACCGAUUCGAACCGAACUCCGAAUGCCCGAGGGUCUAGAGCGCGGCAGUCAGAACAUGUGGGCUAAGCUGUGUGUUCGAGAGGGAAACAGCCCAGACCGCCCGCUAAGGUCCCAAAUUCAGAGCCGAGUGGCAAAGGAUGUGCGUCCGCGCAGACAACCAGGAGGUUGGCUUAGAAGCAGCCACCCCUUCAAAGAGUGCGUAACAGCUCACUGGUCGAGUGGACAUGCGCCGACAAUACACGGGGCUAAGCUGGACACCGAAGCGGCGGGAUUUUACCUAAGUAGAAUCGGUAGGGGAGCUUCCCAUGGGCGGUGAAGCCGCCGGGCGACCGGCGGUGGAGCGCAUGGGAGUGAGAAUGCUGGCAUGAGUAGCGAGAGACGAGAGAGUAACUCGUCCGCCGUGAACCCGAGGUUUCCUGGGCAAGGCUAAUCCUCCCAGGGUCAGUCGGGGGCUAAGGCGAGGCCGGAAGGCGUAGUCGAAGCGCAGCAGGCAGACAUUCCUGCACCGCGAUGGAACCGUCACGACCGACGGGGCGACGGAUGGGGGUGGCUCGGCGGGGUUCUGGACGUCCCCGUGAUGGAGCGCGGCCCGGAGACCAGGCAAAUCCGGUCUCCACGAGGGCGAGGCUCCGGACGAAGCGAUCGAGCGAAGCGAGUGAGCCCGAGGUCCCUAGAAAAACCCCUAGGCAGGCGCCAUCGCGCCCGUACCGCAAACCGACACAGGUGGGUGGGUAGAACAUACCGAGGCGAUCGGGUCAACCAUGGUUAAGGAACUCGGCACAAUGGCCCCGUAACUUCGGGAGAAGGGGUGCCCCCGCGUACGUGAACCGGCUCGCCCGGGGAGCGGAGGGGGGCCGCAGUGAAGAGGCCCAAGCGACUGUUUACCAAAAACACAGGACUCUGCAUAAGCCGCGAGGCGACGUAUAGGGUCUGACGCCUGCCCGGUGCCGGAAGGUCACGCGGAGGUGUUAGCGCGAGCGAAGCACCGAAGCCAAGCCCCGGUAAACGGCGGCCGUAACUAUAACGGUCCUAAGGUAGCGAAAUUCCUUGUCGGGUAAGUUCCGACCUGC
rnacentral:rRNA from 1 species